rnacentral:snoRNA from 1 species
AACCCAUGGUGUGGGCAUUGGUUUGUGUAGCUCUUGAAUCUCUCAUAUGCUUCACCAAAACUCUCAUUGCUGUGCUGAGUAAAGCAAGAGAUUUAUUUUCUCAGUUU